GUUUUUUCUUCACACACGUCGUCUGCGAUAAAAUUUUGUUGGUGACAGAAUUUAUGUAAAUUUUGAAUCGGAGAUACGGAGACCAGCUGCGUGGCAGCAAGAGCAAAUGUUUGUUGUGAUGAGGCGUAUACCACCAUCACCAACGCUGCAAUUGCAGUCACCACCACCAAUGAUGGUCCACCACUUCUGCCACCACCAUCAGUUCUGCGAAUGCCACCACCACCACCAAGUCUGCUUCUGCCAUCGCCAUUGCCACCGCCACUACCAAGAUCAUUCCUGACACAAAGCCUCCAAGUCCUCAACUGACCAGCUAUUGCAGCUGGAGAAGGAUAGACCCGCAACUUCAAAGUCAGGGCUUGCUGGUCUCCUACAAUAAGAAAAGUGCCUGGGGCCAAUCUGAUGAACGUGUACUUGUAGCACAAUAUUUGGCCACAGUUGUAGAAAUACAGAGACUAACAUGCAGCCACAGGUGAGGCUUUGUCCGCAUUUCCAGAAAGACACAAGAUAGUAUCAGAAAGCCAUGCCAAAUUCAAGGACUGAAGGGUUUGGAGAGCCAGACAAAGAGCCUAGAAAUGUGAUUUAACCCGUACUUCAAUCACAUGAACAGCAGCAGGAGCAAAAACAGCAUCAACCACACAGGAGAUGUAACGACAGCAUUGACCAACAGCAACAACAACAGCAGCGUAAACAAUUUCUGCAGGAGGUGCAAAAACCACACCGGCAACCUCAACAAUAUCAAGAUGUCCAACAACCACUCCGGGAACAGCAACCACAACUUCAGCAAGAGUUUCAACAAACACAUCAGCAAAAACCAACAGCAGCAGCAACAACAGCACUUAUGAAAUGAAUUUAAUUGAAACUCAAAAGCCAAUGAGGAAACAUCUUUUACAAAAUGAGACAUCAUUUGUUCAUUCUUUUACAGGAUAAAGAAAAGCUUUUUUGAAAGUGUAAAUUUGCAGGAACACAAUGUAUGUUCCCUAUGAAUCUAUUUAUUGAAAUAAAUUUGACUUUAAAAAGAAUGAAUGGUGAUUCAAUAAAUAUCUACUUUUUUAUUUGUCAAUGAGUAAAAAUACAUGUAUUUUCUAUUUAGAAUGACAAAAAGCAAUUUAUCAAAUCAAAAUCACAAAAAAAUUGACCAAUAUGGCUCUUAGGCCCUCAAAAUUGUUGGUAUUUUGAUGAAAAAGCUGUUUCUGCGGCAAUAUUUGACACAGCUCUAAUAGCUGCGUCAAAUUUGCCGCAGAAAUUGUCAUUUGCCGCAGCUCCUUGAGCUGCGUCAAAUAUUGCCGCUGAAAUUGUCAUUUGCCGCAGAAAGUAUCUGCGGCAAAGUUUUAUGAAACGGAAACUUGACGCUGUUUUGAGAUUUGCCGCAGAAACACAGAUUUGCCGCAGAAAAUGGGAGUUGCCGCUGCGGCAAAUGUUUUAUGAAACGGGCCCCUGG